UGGUGGAGUGAUUUGUCUGGUUAAUUCCGCUAACGAACGAGGCCCCUGCCUGCUAAAUAGCCCAAUGAGUGAAUUUCACUUAUUGGGGCUUCUUAGAGGGGCGUGCAUUCUAAUAGAUGCAGGAAGAUAGGGGCAAUACCA
rnacentral:rRNA from 1 species